CCUCUUCUAGAACAGAUCCUGAGGUCAUUCAGAAGGUGUUCUGGAAUAUUGGCGACCCGUAGAAGGAACAGACUCCAGUGGAAAGAGGUGGGCCUCUUCUUGGCAGCCCAGUGAUCAGAGUCUCCUGUAUUGGCAUCAGAACAGCCUAAACCCUUCCAUGUGAUUUCUAGAACCAUUGGCGUUAACACUUUGCUGGAUUUUCUGACACGGGCCACCCAGGACACAUUGGGAAGAUAAAAGCCAUCGACAGGAGCCCCUGGGACCAGGAGAUCUGUCCGAGGACACUUAGAGAACAGCCCAGG